AGAGUUUGAUCAUGGCUCAGGACGAACGCUGGCGGCAGGCUUAACACAUGCAAGUCGAACGCUCGUAGCAAUACGGGAGUGGCAGACGGGUGAGUAACGCGUGGGAACAUACCCUCCGGUUCGGAAUAGCUCAGGGAAACUUGGAUUAAUACCGGAUACGGCUGAGAGGCGAAAGAUUUAUCGCCGGAGGAUUGGCCCGCGUUCGAUUAGCUAGUUGGUGAGGUAACGGCUCACCAAGGCGAUGAUCGAUAGCUGGUCUGAGAGGAUGAUCAGCCACAUUGGGACUGAGACACGGCCCAAACUCCUACGGGGGGCAGCAGUGGGGAAUAUUGGACAAUGGGCGCAAGCCUGAUCCAGCCAUGCCGCGUGAGUGAUGACGGCCUUAGGGUUGUAAAGCUCUUUCGCUCGGGACGAUAAUGACGGUACCGAGAUAAGAAGCCCCGGCUAACUUCGUGCCAGCAGCCGCGGUAAUACGAAGGGGGCUAGCGUUGUUCGGAAUUACUGGGCGUAAAGCGCGUGUAGGCGGGUCUUUAAGUCAGGGGUGAAAUGCCAAGGCUCAACCUUGGAACUGCCUUUGAUACUGGAGACCUUGAGUCCGGGAGAGGUGAGUGGAAUUGCGAGUGUAGAGGUGAAAUUCGUAGAUAUUCGCAAGAACACCAGUGGCGAAGGCGGCUCACUGGCCCGGAACUGACGCUGAGACGCGAAAGCGUGGGGAGCAAACAGGAUUAGAUACCCCCGUAGUCC
rnacentral:rRNA from 1 species